GGGUCUGUGGUCUAGUGGCUAUGACGCGGCCCUUACAAGGCCGAGGUCGGUGGUUCGAAUCCGCCCGGACCCA
rnacentral:tRNA from 1 species